rnacentral:lncRNA from 1 species
UUCCUCUAAAAUCAAUAUAUACUCGUAUAUUUUGUCAAUUAGCUAUUAAUAUAUUAUCAUCAUUCAUUCUAAUUGAAGAAACACACAAAAUAAUCCUUAAACUGGAUAUAACAAGUACUUCUAUUACUAAAAAAAUCAACAAAAUAUAUAAUUCACAAUAAUUCAUUGUUCAAUGUCAUUUAUGCAUAUACACAAAUGAAAAAGAAAAUUAACUACUAAGUGUCUUCAAGCUCCCCUCCUUUGUCGAUGGCUUUUGAGAUAAUGCAAGAACCUUGCCCCUAUUAGAAAAAUACACAAGAUCACUUUUAUUAUUAACAUAAUCAUAAUGUUAAUAGAAAAGAGAUGGUUAUAAAAGAGCGAUAAUAGAAAAAGGGCAGUUAUAAAGUUAUUAGAAAAAGACAGUGCACAAGCUGACAUCACCAAACUUGCUGGUGGUACAAUAAAUUCAACACCGAGUUCAUCAAAUGCAUUCUAUUUAUCAGUUGUUUUUCAAUUCCUUCACAAAAUUGAAGAACACAAGCUAGUUUGAUGCAAGAAGAGAAACAAUGAAGAAGUGCAUCUGGGGGAGUAUGUUGAAUAGCUCAAGAUUUAUUACAUAGAACUAACAAUUGGCGACUUGUGCUUAAGAGUUGCAGUUAUAACAAAAGGUCGAAAUAGAUACCAAUGCAUUUACCUGUUGAAUUCUCGACAUUAUAGAAUCCACCACUUUUAAUCUCUUUGUCCACUUUUAAUAUCAUUUGUUCUUGGAGCGUUCUAUCUAUCUCUAUAGAAAUUUGUCCUUGUUCUUCUGACAACUUCCAAUCCUUCUUAAUUUUCAUCUCAGCUUCCGAAGUAAUUCAUUGAAUCAACACAGUAGCAAACAACUUCAUAGAAACAAAAUAAUGAAUAAAUAUGAUAAAAUUGCAGAAGCACAAAAAUUGAAAUUGAGAAGCAUCUGACUUGAAGAGCUGAUUGUUUAGCCGAGUUAAAAAGAAGCUAAAGUCAUCACAAACAUAUCGUUAAAAUUGAAUCUAUGACCAGUUGCUCAAACUAAAUUAUCAAAAAAUCAAAAUAUAGUUAAUUGUGGUAAAUGUUUUUUGUCACUCCAUAUCAUUGUUUUUUUCUAGUGACAUCUCCAUCAUCAUCAGGUAACUCUUCUUUGAUUUUUUCAACUUUGGAUACGUCCAUAACUUAAUCUUCAUAGAUAUUAAUCAUAUCCAAAAUCGAAUGCAGAAGCACGUUUAAAGUGAAACUUUUAGCUAAAGCAACUGAAGGAAAAUAUUGUGCUGAGCAGCACCAAAUAGUUAGAUUUGGCAUAACGAGUUAAGGACAAGAGUGGGCGGGCAGGAGGCAAGGGUCUCGCAGAAACAAAAGCUAACACUAACUUUCUAAUACUAAUAUGUUGAAAAGUGUUACUGAAGCAUAAAUACAAUAAAAAAAACUGACAUCAUACAAACUUCAAAUUUCCAAAGUCACAACAAUCAAAAGUGAGCCCAAUAUAACCUUGAACCAUAUUUUAAGACUAAGCAUAGAAAACAAAUAAGUCUUCCAUUUGACUGAAUUAAUAAAUCACCAAGUCAACUAACUUAUACUUCUUUUGUACUUCUUAUUUUCCAUAAAGGACCAAAGGAAGACUACAUUUUCUUUCCUAAGAAAUUACUUUACUACAACAUAUAGUUAUCUUCCUUCCUAUCUAUAAAUGUAUGAUAUAACUUGUAUGAUCAUACUAUGAAGCAUUCACCAUGAUAUUUCUUAACAUUACAUUACUUUUGUUGUUUUGCAAGCAUCUAGAUAAUUUCAAGAGAGAUCUUUCCUAGUAAUAUCUAGUUUUUACAUAGUAUUUAGUUAUGUAAAUUCAGAAACUUGUACUUGUAUUAAAUUUAAGUUUUGAUAAAAGAAAUAUUAUUACAUCAAAUCCUUGGAGAUAGAUUUUAGAUGAGCCAUAUAUUUUUGCAGCUAGUAUCAAAUUUCAACAACUUUAAAUUGUUGAAUCAGUGGCUUUCUCCUAAAUGUUCAAGUUAAUUUUAAAACUCUCAUACAAGAUUAAAAACAAGAAUGAAGUAAAACACAUUCAAGUGGUUCUGAACACACAAACUAGACUAGCAACAAUGUUAAUCACAUACCGAUAAAUUAACUGAUCAGUGAUUAUUAUUUUUCUUAAGGUUUUCAGUUCAUAUUAGCCAUUUUAGAUGCUGAUUUUAUUUAUCAAAUAAAAAUGAAAAAAUUAUAGACGUACAACAAAAAAUUAAUUAAGCGGGCAAGAACAUUUAUUCAUUCACACAUUCAUUUAAAGACCUAGAAUGGAAAGUAAGUAAAUGGGAGGUUAUUGACCUUCUCCGAGACAACGAAUCGGUGAAUCUCGAGUCUUCACCAUUGAAAAGCUUGUUUAACAGAGCCGAUGUAAGCUCUUUUUACAUUAGAAAAACUAAAUAUUAGCUCCCCAAUAAAGCUAAAGAGUUUCAAACUAUGAGAAUCAAAAUAAGUGGGAAAUCUUCCGAGUGAUUUUGAGAGGAUAUAAUUAAAAAACAAGGGCGAAAACUCACUUUUUCAUAGCUAUUUGGAGCCAUUGGGGGGCUGUUGAAUGUUGAAUUCAUCCAUGGACCUUAGAAAAAUCUUUUAUCUGUUGAGUUAGAAGGAGAAAUCAUUAGUGUCGUUGUGUUCCUUCUUGAGGUCUAUUCGCUAUUUGUAACUGUGAGAAGCUUCAAAGAGGCGUGAGAGGGUGGAGGAGACAACUACGGCGAUAGCAGAGGUCGUGCCGGUCUUUUCCCGACGUCCUAGAGGCGGCGCUUAUGUGGUUCAGAAUUUGAUUGAAUGAAAAUGGGGAAGGGAUUGCGGUCUUUAGUUGGGUUAUUUGGGCCAGGUCAGGGUUUUUGGUUCAAG